rnacentral:rRNA from 1 species
GCAACUCCAAACUAGUGGCAAACGGGUGAGUAAUGCAGAGGAACCUCCCUAACAGUAAGGAAUAAUUUUGGGAAACCAAAACUAAUACCAUAUAUUACCGACCUAGUCGGGAAAGAUACGUCGCUGUUAGAUGGGCCUCUGUCAGAUUAGCUAGUUGGUGAGGUAAAUGCUCACCAAGGCGAUGAUCUGUAGCUGGUCUGAGAGGAUGAUCAGCCACACUGGGACUGAGACACGGCCCAGACUCC